rnacentral:rRNA from 1 species
AACGCUGGCGGCGUGCCUAACACAUGCAAGUCGAACGAGAAAGGGUAGCAAUACCUGAGUAAAGUGGCGCACGGGUGAGUAACACGUGACUAACCUACCCUGGAGUGGGGGAUAACUGAGGGAAACCUUAGCUAAUACCGCAUAACACCUACGGGUCAAAGGAGCAAUUCGCUUUGGGAGGGGGUCGCGGCCGAUUAGUUAGUUGGCGGGGUAAUGGCCCACCAAGACUGUGAUCGGUAUCCGGCCUGAGAGGGCGCACGGACACACUGGAACUGAAACACGGUCCAGACUCCUACGGGAGGCAGCAGUGGGGAAUUUUGCGCAAUGGGGGAAACCCUGACGCAGCAACGCCGCGUGGAGGAUGAAGUACUUCGGUACGUAAACUCCCUUCGAUCGGGACGAUAAUGACGGUACCGGAAGAAGAAGCCCCGGCUAACUUCGUGCCAGCAGCCGCGGUAAUACGAGGGGGGCAAGCGUUGUUCGGAAUUAUUGGGCGUAAAGGGUGCGUAGGCGGUUUGGUAAGUCUUUUGUGAAAUCUAUGGGCUCAACUCAUAGACUGCAAGGGAAACUGCCGGGCUUGAGUGUGGGAGAGGUGAGUGGAAUUUCCGGUGUAGCGGUGAAAUGCGUAGAUAUCGGAAGGAACACCUGUGGCGAAAGCGGCUCACUGGACCACAACUGACGCUGAUGCACGAAAGCUAGGGGAGCAAACAG